GAGAGCAGCACAGAACACAAUCUUCAUCAUCACACAAGACACAACAACAACAAUGAACAACAUCAUCAUCUUCAUCUGGACUCUCACACUGUUUGCUCAAGAGUGUAGAGGACAGUACACUGUAACUCAGAGUCCAUCAAUAACAGCAGCUCAACCAGGACAAGAAGUCAGAAUAAACUGUAAAAGCAGCAGUAAUGUCUACAGUGAUAGUAAUGGGUCAUGGAUGAGCUGGUACUUACAGAAACCUGGAGAAGCUCCUAAACUCCUCAUAUAUCUUGCAUCAACCCGUUACACUGGAACUUCAUCUAGAUUCAGUGGCAGUGGAUCUAACAGUGAUUACACUCUGACCAUCAGUGGAGUCCAGACUGAAGAUACAGGAGAUUAUUACUGUCAGAGUUUUCACUAUCCAAACAGUAAACGUGUGUUCACACAUUGAUAAAGAGUCGUACAAAAACCUCCGUCAGUCAGAGUCACAGUGAGUGCACUGAUACAGCUGAGAGAUACUGCAGCUGCUGAUGAAAGCAUGACAAACAACACAAUGACAAUGUUUAACAAAUUUAAAAUAAUAAUUAAUGUGUUAAUUUAUUUAUGUGGAGAACCCCAUGCUUUUAACCUUGUAGACAGACAGGUCUAAUCGAUAUAUCUUAAAGUACAGUGUGAUGAUAAUACUGUGUUAAUAUCUGUGCUAUGUGACUUAGAAAGCCCUGAAUUGCACCAAACGAGGGUGACUGAAUUUGUACAGAGUUAUUACUAUAAAAAUAAAUUAAUUAAUAAAUAAUAAAACAGAAAAGAAAA